CCCUUAGAUGUUCUGGGCUGCACGCGCGCUACACUGAUGCGCUCAACGAGUUUUAACCUUGCCUGGAAAGGUUGGGUAAUCUUUUUAAAACGCAUCGUGAUGGGGAUAGAUUAUUGCAAUUAUUAAUCUCCAACGAGGAAUUCCUAGUAAACGCAAGUCAUCAGCUUGCAUUGAUUACGUCCCUGCCCUUUGUACACACCGCCCGUCGCACCUACCGAUUGAAUGGUCCGGUGAAAUCUUGGGAUUUUGUUUUGUUUGCAUUUAUUUGUAUCGAGACGAGAGAACUUGAGUAAACCUUACCAUUUAGAGGAAGGUGAAGUCGUAACA
rnacentral:rRNA from 1 species